rnacentral:misc_RNA from 1 species
CGUCCACAGAGGGUCAGAUCAUCACCUGCAAAGCGGCGGUGGCAUGGGAGGCGAACAAGCCGCUGGUGAUCGAGGAUGUGCAGGUCGCGCCGCCGCAGGCCGGCGAGGUGCGGAUCAAGAUCCUCUUCACCGCGCUCUGUCACACCGAUGCCUACACAUGGAGCGGCAAGGAUCCUGAGGGUCUCUUUCCUUGCAUUCUUGGUCAUGAAGCUGCAGGGAUCGUUGAGAGUGUUGGCGAAGGAGUCACGGAUGUUCAACCUGGAGAUCAUGUAAUACCCUGUUACCAAGCAGAGUGCAAGGAAUGCAAGUUUUGCAAAUCAGGAAAGACGAACUUAUGUGGUAAAGUUAGGUCAGCUACUGGGGUGGGUGUUAUGAUGACUGAUCGCAAGAGUCGGUUCUCAGUUAAUGGGAAACCCAUAUAUCAUUUUAUGGGAACAUCAACGUUUAGUCAGUAUACAGUGGUACAUGAUGUUAGUGUUGCGAAAAUUGAUCCACAGGCCCCUUUGGAAAAAGUCUGCCUUCUUGGUUGUGGUGUUCCUACAGGGCUCGGAGCAGUUUGGAAUACAGCAAAGGUGGAAGCUGGUUCCAUUGUUGCCAUUUUUGGCCUUGGGACUGUUGGGCUUGCAGUUGCAGAAGGAGCAAAAACAGCUGGUGCCUCUCGAAUUAUUGGUGUAGAUAUUGACAGCAAGAAAUAUGAAGUUGCAAAGAACUUUGGAGUAACUGAGUUCGUCAAUCCAAAAGAACAUGAUAAACCGAUUCAGCAGGUCCUUGUUGAUCUGACUGAUGGUGGAGUUGACUACAGCUUUGAAUGCAUUGGAAAUGUCUCUGUGAUGAGAGCGGCUCUUGAAUGCUGUCAUAAGGGUUGGGGGACAUCCGUCAUAGUUGGUGUUGCGGCUUCUGGCCAGGAGAUAUCGACCCGGCCAUUCCAGCUCGUCACGGGGCGUGUAUGGAAGGGAACCGCCUUCGGUGGAUUCAAGAGCCGCUCUCAAGUCCCAUGGCUCGUUGAGAAGUACAUGAAGAAGGAGAUUAAGGUUGAUGAGUACAUCACCCACUCGAUGACCUUACCGGAAAUCAACAAGGCUUUCGAUCUGUUGCACGAAGGUGGCUGCCUCCGAUGUGUUCUCGAAAUGCACACAUAAAGUGAUAUAAUCGCAAGCUUAUGUUUUGAGUAGUGAGAAAUGAUUGCUGCUAUCUUUUAUGUCUCCAUUUCUCAAUGCUGUAGAGAAAUGUUGGAACUGUCAAUGCCUCUGCACCCUGCCUGGUUGAGAACUAGGGGAGUUUUCAGACUUUUAUAUAUUUUGAUGUCAAUAAAUACUUGCAUCGGG